ACCGCAUAUAAUGCCUAACGUGAAUAUUUUCGACAUUCUCUGUCAGCAUGUUGCAUGAAAGUGUCAUGUGUAGCAGCUAUUGUGACAUUAAGUGAGCACUUUUUUAUCGUUUAUACCGACUGAAAGGAUAAGUUAGCAAAACCAAGGAACUAAAAUAAGGUUCGUCAACAUGGUGGUGGAUUCUUUUCAAAACGUCAUUACUUUUAUAUGUUUUAAAAAAUUAUGCGUCUACAGAAGAAGAAAACUAAGAAGAAGAAGAAAAUUAAGAGAAGAAGAAACUUUUCUUACGUAUCCUUUAAAUUGUUGUAGCCUCGGUUCCAGCCUUUCAGCCAACGAAAAGGGCGGGAAUGAACACCAUCGAUGAACAACAUGGUAUUCCAUUGCACGAGGCGGCCAUGGACGAAGGUCGAGAUUGCAGUUUCAUUCCCUUGUUCUUAUCAACCAAUCUUGGACACAUCUAUUUACAAUCAGCUUAAAUGCAAGUUGCUAUAAAGUACGAAAAAUGCUGUUCUGGGAGGGAUUCAAAAGAGGACGGUUGCAACACGAACUUGGUAUCAUCAUGCAGAAAAUCUCAGCAAUUUCGUUGCGCAUGAAUCGAUUUGAGCAAGGAAUUCAUAGAUUUUUCAGUUUAAUUGAUCUCCCACCAACCAUGCCUGUUCUUCUGCAACGUUGGCUCCGACAAAAGGCAACACGAAAUUCAGAAAGCCGAUUAAACUUCAGGGAAAUUGAAAACUGAAGCUCCUGGAUAAGUGAUGUUUACAGAAGAUCUAGAAUCGAUCUUGAAAAGGUAGACAUUAAAUUGGAUAUGCCAGCUGGGCUGAAGACCUUUGGUUGCAUCACUUUCUGCCACAAGUUGAGAGAUGUGUGGAGUAGCAGGUUGCCGAGACAACCAAUUCUCAGCAGAAAGGAGCUUUUUUGCCGGGCUGCCCUUGCAAAUUAGAUAUCGGCUAGGUUAGGAUUAAAUUUUUAAAUAUUUGAAUCGACUCUACUAGACCUAAAGAUGUCUGACCUGGAGGAAUGUACUCAUAUUCCAGAGAUUUUGUCGGUGGUCGAAACAAGGAGAUUUCACGAUACCCUCGCAUGCCUAAAAUUUCCGUAAAUGCUAUCAUCUAAAAGAGGGUCUUAGAAAUUUCAAAGAAGAAAUGACCUGUCGUUCUCUGAUUUCCUUGGUACAAAGCAACUCCUGUUUCGGAUGCCACGGAGAAGGAAAGCAAACCGAAUUCAAAGAUGCAUUGCAAAGAAUAUCUUGGGAUUGUCAGAUGAGAAUUUGUAAAAAUCUAAGGUAAGACGUUUAUACUAACCUGUAGAAACCAGUAGCUGAAGUUGCUAUCAAUUUUCAAAGAAAACUUUUCAUCUGUUGAUAUAUGUAUCCACUUUGUUAUUUGUAAGCUAUUUUGAUAUCUUGUACAAUUUUACGUAGGAAUUGCUUGAGUGUCUAUUUCUCAGAUUAUUCAAAUCAAUCCUUACUCACUUAAUAACAUUUUAGGAUAGGGGGGCUCCCUCCUCGAUUAGUUCACCUAUUGAGGAGGCUCCUCUUUUAAGUAUUUCCUUGCUUACAAUUCAUUUGUUCCUCUUUCAGUAACAGUAACUUGUCCUCAUUCAGUAACAUGACUUAUAUCUUUGUAGUUUUUUUUUCUUUUUCUGUCUGUAUUGUCAAUAAUAUUCUUGAAUUGUAUGUAAUGGAAUUUAAAAUCUGAACAAAACUGAACUGAACUGAAUACGUAGAAUAACAGACGCAUAUGUUAAUCUCUUUUACGUGAGAACGAGCAGUGAUGACUAGGCCAGCUGUUCAUGAAACUGCCCAAAUUUCAAGCUAGAUUGGUCUAAAUUUGAUUCUAAACUAUUAAUGGGCAGAAUUUGGAAAGAAAUUAUAUUUUCCUGGGAAACAAUAUAGAAAGAGUAUAACAAAUUUAUUGUUUUUGAUAACAUAAGAUAAUGAUAUAUCCUGCCAUGAAAGGUAUAUCCCGAACUAGAAUGUUUUGCAGGAAAAUAGCCUCAAUAAUUAUUUACGUUACAAUGAUUUUACAAACAAUGUUUAACAGGUCAUGGCAAAAAAUUGAAAAACCUGUGUCAGCGUUGCUCACAAUUAGAUUGUUCUUCAAUUGCUCUAAAACUUUGUCAAGGUUUGACGUUUGUACCUUAACAAAUUGGUUCUCGUAAAAAAACAAGUAGGCUUUAGGAAAAGCCAGCUAUUAUGUAAAACAAAUAAAAUCAGAAUAUUAACUUCAAGAUUUUUUGGCAAGAGAGCCGUUAGGUUUGGUAAAACAAACAAAUUUGAGUCUAGAAAUAGCUAAUUUAAUGAGCUUUAAGAUCCUUUUUUCUGAAUAAAAACUUUUCACAAUUUCAUUUUAGAGUUACAAACAAAAAAAUGGAUCACUAUAGAAACAAAAUGAACCAAUUUUGACGUCAGAAAUCAUUUUUAUGAAAAUUUCUAAACAAUUUUUUUUGAAAGACUUUCGUCUAAAAAUAACUCGAAAAUUCGGAUGGAAACAAAUUGAAAAGCUGAUCAAAAUCAAAUCACCUUAAAACAAAAGUAGUGAAAAUAGAUGACUAGAAAAGAUGCAUGCAACUACUGUGGCAGUAAAGCUAUGUUGAUAAAGAUUUUUUCCUGGUUCGUUGAAUUUACAUCUAGAAUGGAAGUCGUAUUUUUAAAAGAAACUACGACAUUUUAAAAGUAGUGAUUUUUGCUAAAAAGGCAAGGCUAAAGGCUUAGAAAAAUAGUCAAAUUUUUCACAAUUUUUAUUCACUUAAAAUCUGCUUAGUUUGCCUUUUAAAUAUCAUCAGAAAAAACAUGAAUUGAACUUUUUUUAGGAAUCAAAGUGAUUUUUUUUGAAAAACAACUAUCUUUUAGACGGGUUAAUUAUUGAUCAAAAAGUAAGGAUAUUGGCUAAAAAUCGUUUUCAAGGAAAUUUUAAGAAUUUAUAUCAUUAGAGGCUGUAUUUAGCCUUAAAAGAAGUACUUUUCUUAGAAAACAACAGUAUUUUAGAACGAUAUAAUAGAUGGAUCGGUCUUUCUAAAGAUUUGCAUUCCUAAAAACUAAUCAAUGUGCUUUUUGGUCAUUAGAAUAACCAGACAUUUACUUUUUAGAUCUCCAAUAAAAGUAUUUUUUUCGAAAAAAACAACAAAAAAUUGGAUGGAUCAAUCUUGGUAACGAUACAUAAUUAAGCAAAUCGAUAAAUUUUUCAAAACUUUUUGUAAUAGAAACUAGUUUAUUUGCUUUAAUACCAUUAGAACAGAAAUCAAUUAAAUAGAGUUCUCCAAAAAAUUUUUUUCCUGAAAACAACGAUAUAAUGGAUGGAUUAGUUUUGGCAAAAAGUGCGGCUAAUAGACCCAGGAAAAUCAUCAAAAUAUUCCAAAAAUCUUUUUUCAAAAAACUUUUCAGUUUGCUUUAUUAUGAUAAGAAUAAACAGAAAAUAACUUUAGUCUUUGAUCUAAUUAGAAUUACCGUUGUUAAAUUGCUUUGAUCUAAUUAGAAUUACCAGAAAUUAUCUUUAGUUCUUGAAUAAAUAUCAUUUUUUCUAAAAAAACAACGAUAUCGUGGGUGGAUCAGUUUUGGCACAAAAAUAAGGCCAUAAGCUUAGGAAAAUCACCAAAUUUUUCCAAAAAAUUUUUUUUCUAAAAACAUGUUAAUUUACUUUAAUAUAAUUAGAAUAAAUAGAAAUUAUCUUUAGUUCUUGUAUAAAUAUCCUUUUCUUGGAAAAACAACGAUUUUAUGCAUGGAUUAGUUUUGGCAAAAAAGUGCGGCUAUAGACCCAGGAAAAUCAUCAAAUUAUUCCAAAAAUCUUUUUUCAAAAAACUUUUUAGUUUGCUUUAUUAUGAUUCGAAUAAACAGAAAAUAACUUUAGUUGUCGAAUAAAUAUCUUGUUCUCGAGAAAACAAUGAUAUAACACAUAGGUCAGUUUCGGUAAAAAAGUAAGACUAUAGGCUAAGGAAAAUCGUCAAAUUUUCUAAAAAGAAUUUUUUCUAAAAACUUAAUUAUUUGCUUAACUAUAAUCAAAAUAAAAAUAAAUUAGCUUUAGCUCUUCAAUAAAUAUCAUUUUUCCAAAAAACAACGAUAUAACACAGGUCAGUUUCGGUAAAAAAAGUAAGGCUAAAGGCUUCGGAAAAUCAUCAAAUUUCUCCAAAGAUCUUUUUUUCUAAAUACUUUCUAAUUUGCUUUUUAUUAUUAGAAUAAACAGCCAAUUACUUUAGUUCUUGAAGAAAUAUCCUGUUUCUGAGAAAACAACGAUAUAACAUACAUCAACAACAAAAAUAUAAUAAAUUUUCGUCGGAUAAACUUCAUCGAAGAAAAUUUCAUCAAAAUAUUUUUCCAAAAUUUUGUCACGACGAAAUUUUAUGUAGUUAAUGUAGGUCAGUUUGGGUAAAAAAGUAGGACAAAAAUUUUCAAACAAAUUGUUUUUAUAUAAUCUUGUUAAUUUGAUUUAAUCUAAUUAGAAUAAACAGGAAUUAGCUAAUUAUCAUGUAUCCUGUUUCUGAGAAAACAACGAUAUAACAUACAUCAACAACAAAAAUAUAAUAAAUUUUCGUCGGAUAAACUUCAUCGAAGAAAAUUUCAUCAAAAUAUUUUUCCAAAAUUUUGUCACGACGAAAUUUUAUGUAGUUAAUGUAGGUCAGUUUGGGUAAAAAAGUAGGACAAAAAUUUUCAAACAAAUUGUUUUUAUAUAAUCUUGUUAAUUUGAUUUAAUCUAAUUAGAAUAAACAGGAAUUAGCUAAUUAUCAUGUAUCCUGUUUCUGAGAAAACAACGAUAUAACAUACAUCAACAACAAAAAUAUAAUAAAUUUUCGUCGGAUAAACUUCAUCGAAGAAAAUUUCAUCAAAAUAUUUUUCCAAAAUUUUGUCACGACGAAAUUUUAUGUAGUUAAUGUAGGUCAGUUUGGGUGAAAAAGUAGGACAAAAAUUUUCAAACAAAUUGUUUUUAUAAUCUUGUUAAUUUGAUUUAAUCUAAUUAGAAUAAACAGGAAUUAGUUUUUUGUUCUUGGA